AACGCUGGCGGCAGGCCUAACACAUGCAAGUCGAGCGCGCCUUCGGGUGACGCGGCGGACGGGUUAGUAACGCGUGGGAACGUGCCCUUCUCUACGGAAUAACCUCUGGAAACGGAGAGUAAUACCGUAUACGCCCUUUGGGGGAAAGAUUUAUCGGAGAAGGAUCGGCCCGCGUUAGAUUAGGUAGUUGGUGGGGUAACGGCCUACCAAGCCUACGAUCUAUAGCUGGUUUUAGAGGAUGAUCAGCAACACUGGGACUGAGACACGGCCCAGACUCCUACGGGAGGCAGCAGUGGGGAAUCUUAGACAAUGGGGGCAACCCUGAUCUAACCAUGCCGCGUGAGUGAUGAAGGCCUUAGGGUCGUAAAGCUCUUUCGCCUGUGAUGAUAAAUGACAGUAGCAGGUAAAGAAACCCCCGGCUAACUCCGUGCCU
rnacentral:rRNA from 1 species